rnacentral:rRNA from 1 species
UACGGGAGGCAGCAGUGGGGAAUAUUGCACAAUGGGCGCAAGCCUGAUGCAGCCAUGCCGCGUGUAUGAAGAAGGCCUUCGGGUUGUAAAGUACUUUUCAGCGGGGAGGAAGGCGGUGAAGUUAAUAGCUUCACCGAUUGACGUUACCCGCAGAAGAAGCACCGGCUAACUCCGUGCCAGCAGCCGCGGUAAUACGGAGGGUGCAAGCGUUAAUCGGAAUUACUGGGCGUAAAGCGCACGCAGGCGGUCUGUCAAGUCGGAUGUGAAAUCCCCGGGCUUAACCUGGGAACUGCAUUCGAAACUGGCAGGCUAGAGUCUUGUAGAGGGGGUAGAAUUCCAGGUGUAGCGGUGAAAUGCGUAGAGAUCUGGAGGAAUACCGGUGGCGAAGGCGGCCCCUGGGACAAAGCUGACGCUCAGGGUGCGAAAGCGUGGGGAGCGAAACAGGGAUUAGGAUACCCGGU